rnacentral:rRNA from 1 species
UGGGGAAUUUUGGACAAUGGGCGAAAGCCUGAUCCAGCAAUGCCGCGUGUGUGAAGAAGGCCUUCGGGUUGUAAAGCACUUUUGUCCGGAAAGAAAUCCUUGGCUCUAAUACAGUCGGGGGAUGACGGUACCGGAAGAAUAAGCACCGGCUAACUACGUGCCAGCAGCCGCGGUAAUACGUAGGGUGCAAGCGUUAAUCGGAAUUACUGGGCGUAAAGCGUGCGCAGGCGGUUUGCUAAGACCGAUGUGAAAUCCCCGGGCUCAACCUGGGAACUGCAUUGGUGACUGGCAGGCUAGAGUAUGGCAGAGGGGGGUAGAAUUCCACGUGUAGCAGUGAAAUGCGUAGAGAUGUGGAGGAAUACCGAUGGCGAAGGCAGCCCCCUGGGCCAAUACUGACGCUCAUGCACGAAAGCGUGGGGGAGCAAACAGGAUUAGAUACCCUGGUAGUCCACGCCCUAAACGAUGUCAACUAGUUGUUGGGGAUUCAUUUCCUUAGUAACGUAGCUAACGCGUGAAGUUGACCGCCUGGGGAGUACGGUCGCAAGAUUAAAACUCAAAUGAAUUGACGGGGUCAUAACUG